GGACCCACACAAGCGGUGGAGCACCUGGUUUAAUUCGAUAGUGAGCGAGGAACCUUACCUAGGCUUGACAUCCCGAGAAUCUGCUGGAAACAGUGGAGUGCCUUUUGGAACUCGGAGACAAGCGCUGCAUGGUUGUCGUCAGCUCGUGCCUUGAGGUGUUCGGUUAAGUCCGUAAACGAGCGCAACCCUUGUGCUAUGUUGUAUUUUUCAUAGCAGACUGCCGAUUCUAAAUCGGAGGAAGGUAAGGAUGACGUCAAAUCAGCACGGCCCUUAUGCCUAGGGCUACACAGGUGCUACAAUGGUCGGUACAGUGGGCAGCAAUGGAGCGAUCCGGAGCCAAUCCCUAAAACCGAUCUCAGUUCGGAUUGAAGGCUGCAACUCGCCUUCAUGAAGUUGGAAUCGCUAGUAACCGCGUAUCAGCAAUGUCGCGGUGAAUAUGUUCCUGGGUCUU
rnacentral:rRNA from 1 species